UGUAAAAUGGGUUUGAUCACAGCUCAGGUGCAUUGAGGAUAUACCGUAUGCAGCUGCCAUUACACAGGCCUUAAAUGUGUGAACUUAUCUAUCCAUGUGACAACCAUUUGAGGUGGAUGCUGUAAUUUUUCCCAGGGAGAGAGACUGAGGUCAGAGAGGGACAGGGACUUGCCCAAGGCCACAUGGCUUGCAACUGGGAAGCUGGGACUUGAAGCCCAGAAAUCUGGCACUCAGAUCCAUCCUGUUAACUUCCAGGAUGUGGGUCCUGUCUUGGGAGUUAGAUGAUGGACACGCAGUAGGUGUGUUUUAGUUUCCUUGAGGAUCUUGCUUCUGAUUCCUCCUCUGUAAAAUGAAAGGGUGAGAUGAUUCUCUCACAGACUAUAGCUACUUUGUUCAUCUUUCCUUAGAGCAUGCUUUCUUUUUCUAGGUGAUUAUGUAAUUUGUGCUCCUGCCUUCAUUUUCUGUAGAUUAACGCAUCUCUGACAACACUGGCAUCAAAGGAAUGAGGAAUGACCCCUAAAACCUGGGAGUAUGUGCUGUGUUAGUGAGAGAUGCAUUCUGUAUGCCAGGAUGUGUAUUUAUCUGAUUUCUGAAAAGGAUUACAAAACCACAUUCAAGGAGCAGCAUGAAGGCUGUGGACGCCUUUGGAGGAGCCGCUGACCACAUAUGCUGACACAGAGGGAAAAAGAGCAAGGGUUAGGUCUGAGCAAAUGUAACUUUUCUGAGAGUUACAGUAUGUAGGGCUGCAGGGAAGAGAAAUUGGACAGCAAAGGAAUACAGAUAUGAGCACAUCCCCAAGCAUUCAAGAGAG